rnacentral:rRNA from 1 species
UACGUAGGGAGCAAGCGUUGUCCGGAAUCAUUGGGCGUAAAGCGCGCGUAGGUGGCCACAUAAGUCCGUUGUGAAAGUCAAAGGCUCAACCUUUGAAAGCCGAUGGAUACUGUGUGGCUAGAGUACGGAAGAGGCGAGUGGAAUUCCUGGUGUAGCGGUGGAAUGCGUAGAGAUCGGGAAGAACAUCAGUGGCGAAGGCGGUCUGCUGGGCCGAUACUGACGCUGAGGAGCGAAAGCGUGGGGAGCGAACGGG